rnacentral:lncRNA from 1 species
UUUUAGACCAUGAAUUUCAGUCGGAGUAAAUACUGCAAAUUAGCAAAAGGAACUUCAAAUUGACGGUCUUCAGGGUUGGAAGGACUACACUUGAAUGGUCUUAAAUAAAAUUAAACAAAACAUGACUGUGAUGAAUUUCAGCCUAUUAAAGACAUUAAGAGAAGGGUAUAAUUUUCUUUUAUCUAAUGUAGAAU